AAAUAAAAAAGCGCCUGAAUCUUUUAGGUUUAAACAUAAUUUUAUAUUUCCCUAAACUUUCAUAUAUGUUUAAACUUUAAAGAUGACGAGGAAAAAGAGUUAUCGAAUUUUCGGCGGAUGCUCUUUAGGUGAUCACAACCUGAACAGUAUACAAAAUCGUAAGUAAUUGCGGGAACAAAAG
rnacentral:ncRNA from 1 species